GGAGAGGUGUCCGAGCUGGCCGAAGGAGCACGCCUGGAAAGUGUGUAUACGUUAACGCGUAUCAAGAGUUCAAAUCUCUUCCUCUCCGCCA
rnacentral:tRNA from 1 species